UACGUAGGGGGCAAGCGUUGUCCGGAAUCAUUGGGCGUAAAGCGCGUGUAGGCGGCCCGGUAAGUCCGCUGUGAAAGCUUGGGGCUCAACCCCGAGUCGGCCGUCGAUACUCCCGGGCUGGAGCACUGUAGAGGCAGGUGGAAUUCCGGGUGUAGCGGUGGAAUGCGUAGAGAUCCGGAAGAACACCGGUGGCGAAGGCGGCCUGCUGGGCAGUAGCUGACGCUGAGGCGCGACAGCGUGGGGAGCAAACGGG
rnacentral:rRNA from 1 species